rnacentral:lncRNA from 1 species
CGGGACUGGGCCUCGUUGACGGUGAUGCUCCUCCCGUCGAGGUUUUUCCCGUUCAUCCCCUCGAUGGCAUCCCUCAUCGCCUGCUCGUUCGCGAAGGUGACGAACCCGAACCCCCUCGACCUCCCCGUCUCCCGAUCGUUGAUGAUCUGCGUAGGUAACAAAUCCUCAAACCCCGAUCUCAGAUCCGGCUCUAAAAUAUAUAUCAAGUUCACAGAAAAAAGAGGUUAAAAAAAGAGAAACGAAAAACGAACCUUAGACUCUAAGAUCUCGCCGUAGGGUUUGAACGCUUCCUCGAGGGAGCGGUCGUCCGUGGCCCAAGCGAGGCCACCAACAAAGCAGCGGAACUCGACGUCAGCGGCUGCCAUCGGAGAAGGUGGAGGGGAACGGAAACCCUAACCCUAGAGCGGAGGAGAAAGAAACAAAGA